AAGUCGUAACAAGGUCUCCGUAGGUGAACCUGCGGAGGGAUCAUUAACACGUAUCCACGUAUCAAACCAAACCGCGCACUAGGAACAGAAGAAACCUCCCUGCUAGGAAGUAUGAUGUUCCAAUCUGACUUGGAAAAGAAAUGCUGUCAGUUAGCAUCGUGUAGUGGGUCCUUCGGGACGAUGCUCUUUGACUGGAGGGAAAAGCUCAAGGCAUAGUAUUUUCCAAGUAUAAAAAUUUUCUACCUCUACGGGAAGCCAACCUAUUUCACCCCCAUAUAACCACUUGACUGAUGACGCUCGUGCGGAGAAAUCCGAUUCGAGUUUUCGAUAUUCGAACUAAAGCACAACUCUUAGCAACGGAUAUCUUGGUUCUC
rnacentral:misc_RNA from 1 species